GAUGAACGCUGGCGGCGUGCCUAAUACAUGCAAGUCGAGCGAACAGACGAGGAGCUUGCUCCUCUGACGUUAGCGGCGGACGGGUGAGUAACACGUGGAUAACCUACCUAUAAGACUGGGAUAACUUCGGGAAACCGGAGCUAAUACCGGAUAAUAUAUUGAACCGCAUGGUUCAAUAGUGAAGGACGGUUUUGCUGUCACUUAUAGAUGGAUCCGCGCCGCAUUAGCUAGUUGGUAAGGUAACGGCUUACCAAGGCGACGAUGCGUAGCCGACCUGAGAGGGUGAUCGGCCACACUGGAACUGAGGCACGGUCCAGACUCCUACGGGAGGCAGCAGUAGGGAAUCUUCCGCAAUGGGCGAAAGCCUGACGGAGCAACGCCGCGUGAGUGAUGAAGGUCUUCGGAUCGUAAAACUCUGUUAUUAGGGAAGAACAAAUGUGUAAGUAACUAUGCACGUCUUGACGGUACCUAAUCAGAAAGCCACGGCUAACUACGUG
rnacentral:rRNA from 1 species